GCCUGGCUGGCUGAGUCGGUAGAGCACGUGACUCUUGAUUUCAGAGUCAUGAGUUCAACCCCCAUGUUGGGCA
rnacentral:tRNA from 1 species